rnacentral:rRNA from 1 species
GAUGAACGCUGGCGGCGUGCCUAAUACAUGCAAGUCGAGCGAACAGACGAGGAGCUUGCUCCUCUGACGUUAGCGGCGGACGGGUGAGUAACACGUGGAUAACCUACCUAUCAGACUGGGAUAACUUCGGGAAACCGGCGCUAAUACCGGAUAAUAUAUUGAACCGCAUGGUUCAAUAGUGAAAGACGGUUUUGCUGUCACUUAUAGAUGGAUCCGCGCCGCAUUAGCUAGUUGGUAAGGUAACGGCUUACCAAGGCAACGAUGCGUAGCCGACCUGAGAGGGUGAGCGGCCGCCCUGGAACUGAGACACGGUCCAGACUCCUACGGGAGGCAGCAGUAGGGAAUCUUCCGCAAUGGGCGAAAGCCUGACGGAGCAACGCCGCGUGAGUGAUGAAGGUCUUCGGAUCGUAAAACUCUGUUAUUAGGUAAGAACAAAUGUGUAAGUAACUAGGCACGUCUUGACGGUACCUAAUCAGAGAGCCACGGCUAACUACGUG